rnacentral:lncRNA from 1 species
UUUUUUUCUAACCAAUCGGAAAAGGUGAAUCAAAGACAAAUUGACUAAAGCGACGGUUCAUUCAUCGUUAAAUUACAUAAAAAUCUAUUUUUUGAGAGCUAUAUAUAACAACGGUACAAAUCGUCGACAUAGUCAUGACAUUGUUUUUUUGUGCUAUAGCGAUAGAUUGACAAACAGGUUCCCUCCCUAGCCGGUUCGUUGACAAACAGGUUCGUUAGAGAAGGGUUCCCUAUACACACACACACACACACACAUACAUACAUAUAUAUAUAUAUAUAUAUAUAUAUAUAUAUAUAUAUAUAUAUUGAUAGAUUGAUAGAUAGACAAAUUAACACAUUAUAUUCUUCAGGUUAUACUACCUAUAUACGUACGUACCUCGUUUUUCCAAUAUUUUUGAUGAACUUUUGUCCAUAUUUCCUCCAUUCGAAACCAUCUUCGGGUAGCACCAACCUGUUACUCACUCCUCUAUCUAUAUCUAAUUGUUCCUCCUCCCUUGAAUAUUCCCUAUAAUUAAAAACAACACCCAUUAGUUUCUUCAUUCAUUUUAUAUCUAUCUAUCUAUGUCGUAAUGCUCACUCCAUGUAGAGAAAAUUAGACUGGAAUUAAGUCUAAAAGUACGUAUUACAUAUAUAUAUAUAUAUAUAUAUAUUAGAAAGAAAUAAAGUUAUUUCUAAUUUAAUUCCUUUUUUUUUCCUCAGGCGGAACUAUCAAGCAUAAUGCGCUCUACCUGGCUAGCUAGAUAGGAUGUAGUAAUUAAUAAUUAAAUAAAAUACACUAGGUAUAAACGAAAAAGUGUAUGGUGUGUGCUGAAAAGUCUACAUUAAAACGAUAUAUAUAUAUAUAUAUAGUGUGUGUGUGUGUGUGUGUGAAAAUUAUUGUAAGAACCCAUUUUAGAAUUGAAUUUAUGCUCACGUUUAAUGGUGAAACACGAGGGGGAAGAAAAGAAGUUUGACAAAAAGAUCUAAUCACAUUUUGAAAGGGUUUUAAAAUGCUACUGUGUAUAUACAGAGAUUAGAUCUAAUCUCAUCAAAGAAAUUACAUUUGAGAAAGUAUAAAUACUAAUAUAUAUCUAUAUAUAUAUAUAUAUAGAUCUAGAUCCAUAUAUAUAUAUAUAUAUAUCAACAAUAAAUUUGCAUACGAAAUACAAUGUAUAUGCAUACAUAUAUAUAACUAUGACAUGCUCAUUCGCAGAUUUAAGAAGCAAAUACUAUUAUCAUAUAUCUGUACUGCCUCCAUCCGUCCCAAAAAUAAUUAAAAAUACAAAAAAGAAGAGAGAGAAAAAAUCUACCAUAUAUCUUAGUGAAAAUUAUAAAAGGAUAACUCUUUUUUUAGAACAUAAAUUAUAUAUAUAUAUAUAUAUAUAGAAACAAUAUGAAUUAGUAUAUAUAUGUAUCUGAUAAUAGAACUUAUAAAAGCGCACCGUAUAAUUAAAAAGAUUAGUGAUAUAUAUAUAUAUAUAUAUAUAUAGGGUAGAAAAAGAAAUUAAAGAAAGAAAGAAUACAUACAUAGAGGUGGAUUCUUCAGUGUUAGGAGAAGUAUCAGUCAUGGCUGAUGGUAGAUGGCUGCUUUCUCAAUCUACUUACCUAGCUCCUACCUUUGGUUAACCUAGCUACACACAAACACCGAGAGAGAGAUCGAGAGACUCUGUGUGUGUGAGAGAGAGAGAGACCCAGAGAGAGAUCGAGAAACUGUGUGUGUGGAUAUUUAGUUCAUAGUCAAGGCAAAGAUAAACUAAUAAAUAUUAUGAUAAAUAAAUAUUCCGUUCUAAAAUUAAAAAAUAUAUUUUUCUUAAUCUAUUUCAAAAUUAAAUUAAACAUAUAUAUUUA